GUCGAACGCUGGCGGCGUGCUUAACACAUGCAAGUCGAACGGAAAGGCCCUGCUUUUGUGGGGUGCUCGAGUGGCGAACGGGUGAGUAACACGUGAGUAACCUGCCCUUGACUUUGGGAUAACUUCAGGAAACUGGGGCUAAUACCGGAUAGGAGCUCCUGCUGCAUGGUGGGGGUUGGAAAGUUUCGGCGGUUGGGGAUGGACUCGCGGCUUAUCAGCUUGUUGGUGGGGUAGUGGCUUACCAAGGCUUUGACGGGUAGCCGGCCUGAGAGGGUGACCGGCCACAUUGGGACUGAGAUACGGCCCAGACUCCUACGGGAGGCAGCAGUGGGGAAUAUUGCACAAUGGGCGGAAGCCUGAUGCAGCAACGCCGCGUGCGGGAUGACGGCCUUCGGGUUGUAAACCGCUUUCGCCUGUGACGAAGCGUGAGUGACGGUAAUGGGUAAAGAAGCACCGGCUAACUACGUA
rnacentral:rRNA from 1 species